rnacentral:rRNA from 1 species
CAAUAGCGUAUAUUUAAGUUGUUGCAGUUAAAAAGCUCGUAGUUGGAUUUCGGGCGGGUGACGGCGGUCCGCCUCUGGUGUGCACUGCCGGCAUCCGCCUUUCUGUCGGGGACGGGCUCCUGGGCUUCAUUGCUUGGGACUCGGGUUCGACGUGGUUACUUUGAGUAAAUUAGAGUGUUCAAAGCAGGCGAUCGCCCUGAAUACAUUAGCAUGGAAUAAUAAGAUAGGACUUCGGUCUAUUUUGUUGGUUGCGAACCGAGGUAAUGAUUAAUAGGGAUAGUUGGGGGUAUUCAUAUUUAAUUGUCAGAGGUGAAAUUCUUGGAUUUAUGAAAGAUGAACAACUGCGAAAGCAUUUACCAAGGAUGUUUUCAUUAA